GGUCAAUGAUGUAUUGGCAAGUAUUACCUAAAUAGUCUACUGAUGUGUAAUGACAUGUUAGCUCUAGAAUUACGCUGAGACCUU